rnacentral:rRNA from 1 species
ACGCUCGACACCUACGGGAGGGAGCAGUAGGGAAUCUUCCACAAUGGGCGCAAGCCUGAUGGAGCAACACCGCGUGAGUGAAGAAGGGUUUCGGCUCGUAAAGCUCUGUUGUUGGAGAAGAACGUGCGUGAGAGUAACUGUUCACGCAGUGACGGUAUCCAACCAGAAAGUCACGGCUAACUACGUGCCGGCAGCCGCGGUAAUCUGAGCGGGCUGGCAAGGC